AUUGAACGCUGGCGGCAUGCCUUACACAUGCAAGUCGAACGGCAGCACGGGAGCAAUCCUGGUGGCGAGUGGCGAACGGGUGAGUAAUACAUCGGAACGUGCCCAAUAGUGGGGGAUAGCCCGGCGAAAGCCGGAUUAAUACCGCAUACGACCUACGGGUGAAAGCGGGGGAUCGCAAGACCUCGCGCUACUGGAGCGGCCGAUGUCGGAUUAGCUAGUUGGUGGGGUAAAGGCCUACCAAGGCUACGAUCCGUAGCUGGUCUGAGAGGACGACCAGCCACACUGGGACUGAGACACGGCCCAGACUCCUACGGGAGGCAGCAGUGGGGAAUUUUGGACAAUGGGCGCAAGCCUGAUCCAGCCAUGCCGCGUGCGGGAAGAAGGCCU
rnacentral:rRNA from 1 species